UAUGCAAGUAGUGCUAGUAGUGGGCUAAGUUGACUAAGUCAUGUAAAUAUUAGGUAGUGGCUAAAUUUGUGUGAGUAGUGGGUUAUAUUGUGGAGUUCAUGCUAGCUAGGUUUUAGGAGCACAUGUGUAGUGGAUGUAGUGGAGAACAUAUGUUAAGUUGGGUUUUCUUAAACCUCAAGCUUUCUUUGUCUAUUUAAGUCCUUUGAUUGUAAGCUUAUAAU
rnacentral:lncRNA from 1 species